rnacentral:rRNA from 1 species
AUGCGAUAAGUAAUGUGAAUUGCAGAAUCUCGUGAAUCAUUGAAUCUUUGAACGCACAUUGCGCCCUAUAGAAUUCUGUAGGGCAUGCCUGUCUGAGUGUCAUUAGGCACUGUCAGAUCUUUGUUUACUUUAUAGUCUUAGAUCUGGAUUUAUUCAGAGACGUAAUCUGUAUUUACUAGAUUACCCUUUGGAAAAAUAAAGGCAGCUAUAGUAAAAUUUGCAUUAAGCGUAAUAUUCAAACAUUCCGUUUAUAGUAAUUGAACCUUGGCUUGCCUAUAACCCACAUAAUUCUUUGGUUUGACCUCAGAUCAGGUAGGGAUACCCGCUGAACUUAA